GACGAACGCUGGCGGCGUGCCUAAUACAUGCAAGUUGAGCGAUGAAGAUUGGUGCUUGCUCCAAUUUGAAGAGCAGCGAACGGGUGAGUAACGCGUGGGGAAUCUGCCUUUGAGCGGGGGACAACAUUUGGAAACGAAUGCUAAUACCGCAUAACAACUUUAAACAUAAGUUUUAAGUUUGAAAGAUGCAAUUGCAUCACCCAAAGAUGAUCCCGCGUUGUAUUAGCUAGUUGGUGAGGUAAAGGCUCACCAAGGCGAUGAUACAUAGCCGACCUGAGAGGGUGAUCGGCCACAUUGGGACUGAGACACGGCCCAAACUCCUACGGGAGGCAGCAGUAGGGAAUCUUCGGCAAUGGACGAAAGUCUGACCGAGCAACGCCGCGUGAGUGAAGAAGGGUUUCGGAUCGUAAAACUCUGUUGGUAGAGAAGAACGUUGGUGAGAGUGGAAAGCUCAUCAAGUGACGGUAACUACCCAGAAAGGGACGGCUAACUACGUG
rnacentral:rRNA from 1 species